rnacentral:rRNA from 1 species
GGGAACGUGCCUUCUGGUUCGGAAUAACCCUGGGAAACUAGGGCUAAUACCGGAUACGCCCUUAUGGGGAAAGGUUUACUGCCGGAAGAUCGGCCCGCGUCUGAUUAGCUAGUUGGUGGGGUAACGGCCUACCAAGGCGACGAUCAGUAGCUGGUCUGAGAGGAUGAUCAGCCACACUGGGACUGAGACACGGCCCAGACUCCUACGGGAGGCAGCAGUGGGGAAUAUUGGACAAUGGGCGCAAGCCUGAUCCAGCCAUGCCGCGUGAGUGAUGAAGGCCUUAGGGUUGUAAAGCUCUUUUAUCCGGGACGAUAAUGACGGUACCGGAGGAAUAAGCCCCGGCUAACUUCGUGCCAGCAGCCGCGGUAAUACGAAGGGGGCUAGCGUUGCUCGGAAUCACUGGGCGUAAAGGGCGCGUAGGCGGCGUUUUAAGUCGGGGGUGAAAGCCUGUGGCUCAACCACAGAAUGGCCUUCGAUACUGGGACGCUUGAGUAUGGUAGAGGUUGGUGGAACUGCGGGU